AACGCACCUUGCGCUCCUUGGUAUUCCGAGGAGCAUGCCUGUUUGAGUGUCAUGAAAUUCUCAACCUUUUCAGCUUUUUCUGUUGAUCAGGCUUGGAUGUGGGAGUAUGCGGGCUUCUCAUCUCAGAGGUCGGCUCUCCUGAAAUGCAUUAGCGGGACCUUUGUUGCCUGGCUUUGGUGUGAUAAAUUAUUUAUGCCAUCGUGAAGAGCAGCUUUAUAAAUGGGGUUCAGCUUCUAAAUGGUCUCCUUUGAGACCAACUUCUGACAAUUUGACCUCAAAUCAGGUAGGACUACCCGCUGAACUUAA
rnacentral:misc_RNA from 3 species